rnacentral:lncRNA from 1 species
GGGAUGGAGGGGUGGAUGCUGGGGUUGUUGGGUUUGGUGGAGGCUGGGGUAAGACUGUGGAGGAGUAGGGGUGGACGCUAAGGGUGUUUGGUGGGGUGGAGGAUGGGGAGGGUUUGAGGGAGUAGGGGUAGAUGGUGAGUUCAGCUACAUGCUACUGUAGGUUACUCCCCCAUAUGGCUGAGUUCUGUUCAGCUACUUUAGGUUACUCUCCCAUACGGCUAAGUUCUGUUCAGCUGCUUUAGGUUACUCUCCCAUAUGGCUGAGUUGACUGUUCAGCUACUGUAGGUUAUUCUCCCAUAUGGCUGAGUUGACUUUUCAGCUACAUGCUACUGUAGGUUAUUCUCCCAUGCUACUGUAGGUUACUCUCCCAUGCUACUGUAGGUUACUCUCAUGCUACAGUAGGUUACUCUCCCAUGCUACAGUAGGUUACUCUCCCAUGCUACAGUAGGUUACUCUCUCCCAUGCUACUGUAGGUUACUCUCCCAUGCUACUGUAGGUUACUCUCUCAUGCUACUGUAGGUUACUCUCCCAUGCUACUGUAGGUUACUCUCCCAUGCUACAGUAGGUUACUCUCCCAUAUGACUGUAGGUUACUCUCCCAUGCUACUGUAGGUUACUCUCCCAAGCUACUGUAGGUUACUCUCCCAUGCUACUGUAGGUUACUCUCCCAUGCUACUGUAGGUUACUCUCCCAUGCUACUGUAGGUUACUCUCCCAAGCUACUGUAGGUUACUCUCCCAUGCUACUGUAG